GCUGGAGCCAAGACCCAUGGUUCACCUCACACUACCCCAGGUCGAGUGCACUUGCUCUGGAAGUUCAGUCCUGGAGGUCAGCUGGAUAGUUUGUGUGUGUACUUUGGGUGGCAGUCCUGUCUCUAUACCUUUCAUGCAGUCUUCAAGCCUGCGGAUGAGCUGGUAGGACUUGCAGCGGUCCAACAAGGUCCUAAUGGCGGGCAGCGGGUCCAGAACCACCAUUUCAGGAUGGGUGUCGAUGUAAUCCUGAAGACAGUCCCAAAACAACAUCAGGACCUGAGCCCUAGGACCAUGCCUCAGGACUACCUGGUAUGAUGACUCCUUGCUGUCCCC